rnacentral:lncRNA from 1 species
GGCAUGAGCCACCACACCUGGUCCUAUUUCCCUUUUCUAGACUCAAGCUAUAUUCCAUAUUUAUUGGAAGCCAGUUACUAAGACCCGCUUACACCCAAAAGGAGUGGAAUCGAGACAGGGUUUCGCCAUGUUGCUAAGGCUGGUCUUGAACUCUCGGACUCAAGUGAUCCUCCUGCCUCAGCCUCCCAAAGUGCUGGGAUUACAGGACUUCUCCUUCCUGCCACCUUGUGAAGAAGGUGCCUUGCUUCCUUUUUGCUUUCCGUCAUGAUUGUAAGUUUCCUGAGGCCUCCCCAGCCAUGCUGAACUGUGAGUCAAUUAAACCUCUUUCCUUUAUAAAUUACCCAGUCUCGGGCCGUUCUUUAUAGCAGUAUGAAAAUGGACUAAUACAGCUUGUGUGAUAAUUUCACUGGAUGAUGUGAAAGCUUUUUUUGAAAAUGUUCAAGGCUCUGCCCAAAUAUGUGAUGGUGGAAUUUAUUAUGAUAUGCAAAUGAUACUUAUAAUAGUGAUGUGAUUUAUUUAUUUAUUUAUUUUUUAUUUUUUUGAGACAGGGUCUCACUCUGUCUCCCAGGCUGGAGUGCAGUGGUGCGAUCACAGCUCACUGCAGUCUCAACCUCCUGGGCUCAAUUGAUCCUCCCACCUCAGCCUCUUGAGCAACUGGGACUACAGGCAUGCACCAACACACC